rnacentral:tRNA from 1 species
AGGCUGUUAGUCCAAUAUAAGACUCCUAAUUUCGGCUUAGAAAAUUAUGGUUUAAAUCCAUGACUGCCUU